rnacentral:rRNA from 1 species
UGCCUACAAAUAGUCAGAGCCCGUUAACGGGUGAUGGCGUGCCUUUUGUAGAAUGAACCGGCGAGUUACGAUCCCGUGCGAGGUUAAGCUGAAGAGGCGGAGCCGCAGCGAAAGCGAGUCUGAAUAGGGCGUUUAGUACGUGGUCGUAGACCCGAAACCAGGUGAUCUACCCAUGUCCAGGGUGAAGUUCAGGUAACACUGAAUGGAGGCCCGAACCCACGCACGUUGAAAAGUGCGGGGAUGAGGUGUGGGUAGCGGAGAAAUUCCAAUCGAACCUGGAGAUAGCUGGUUCUCCCCGAAAUAGCUUUAGGGCUAGCCUUAAGUGUAAGAGUCUUGGAGGUAGAGCACUGAUUGGACUAGGGGUCCUCAUCGGAUUACCGAAUUCAGUCAAACUCCGAAUGCCAAUGACUUAUCCUUAGGAGUCAGACUGCGAGUGAUAAGAUCCGUAGUCAAAAGGGAAACAGCCCAGACCGCCAGCUAAGGUCCCAAAGUGUGUAUUAAGUGGAAAAGGAUGUGGAGUUGCUUAGACAACUAGGAUGUUGGCUUAGAAGCAGCCACCAUUUAAAGAGUGCGUAAUAGCUCACUAGUCGAGUGACUCUGCGCCGAAAAUGUACCGGGGCUAAAUACACCACCGAAGCUGCGGAUUGAUACCAAUGGUAUCAGUGGUAGGGGAGCGUUCUAAGGACAGUGAAGUCAGACCGGAAGGACUGGUGGAGUGCUUAGAAGUGAGAAUGCCGGUAUGAGUAGCGAAAGACGGGUGAGAAUCCCGUCCACCGAAUGCCUAAGGUUUCCUGAGGAAGGCUCGUCCGCUCAGGGUUAGUCAGGACCUAAGCCGAGGCCGACAGGCGUAGGCGAUGGACAACAGGUUGAUAUUCCUGUACCACCUCUUUAUCGUUUGAGCAAUGGAGG